CCCAGGUGGGGAAAGGGUUUCCAUUCUUUUAUCCCUUAGAGAUCCCCCAGACUGCACCCUCCCUGCCCGUCAUUCCCAAUAGACCCCCAGAAAAUCCAGCAUGUGUCCCCUGCCUCCCAUUCUGUGCUGAUUUCUGCAUCAGUCAUUGCCUGGUGAGCAAUUGUGUUGUGUAUCACUUAAAACCUGCACCAUAGCUCCAUCCCCAACCCAAGCAACUUGGGGACCCACAUGAUGGGACCCCUAAAAUGCCAGGUUUUUGGAAUGCACUGAGGCAAAAAGACCCCAAAUUCAUUGCUGAGUGCUCCCCGAUGACAUGUUCCCAUCUCUCCUAUUACUACCCUCCCCCUCUACCCCCCUAAUCUAACACCCCAACUCCUCAGUGGUGCACCCCUAAUGCUUUCCAGCCACACCCAAUCCCUAAGUGCUCCUAUCUAACCUUAUCAGCUCCACAUCACUUCACAGCCCUUGAGAUCCACAAACCCUUUGCAAUCCACCUCAAAACCACAGCACCAGCCCAGCGGGACCCCCACACCUGACCCAACCCACUCCUGCCCUACACAUCUCCUCACGGUUCCCUCCCCUCCCAUUCCAUCCCCCAUAGAUUCUCUAUAGAUCCCCCAUGCAUCCCCCACCUGCCCCCCACUUUUGGCUGGGACAGAAUUGAUAACCUUCACUGUAUCUGCUGUGGUGCUGUGCUGUGGCUUUAGGAGAAAACCAAUGGUGGUGACACAUGGGUGGUUUAGCUGUUGCUGAGCAGUGCUGCGCAGAGCCAAGGACGGUUCCGUUUCUCAGCUUCUCCACCGGUGCUGCCAGCGAGGGACUGGGGGCAGCAGGAGCUGGGAGGGGACAGAACCAGGACAGCUGAGCUGCACUGGGCACAGAUCCCAUCCCAUCUCCAUCGCAGAGCGCACAGCAUCGUGUGACAGCUGUAACUGGGAGGGGAGUUUUCUGGGGGGAGGAAGCCACUGCCCAAGGUGCUGUGUGCUCAGCACUCGUGUUGUGCCUCCCUUGUUUCUAUCUAUACAUAUCUAUCUAUAAUUAAAGUCUCUGUUCUUUCUCUCUUCCUUGUUUGUCUUCUGUGCAUGUCUCCGGUUUGAUGGGUGGCUCAGGAACCAUUCAGCAGCAGCCCCCGAGCUGUGCCCUGAGGCAGGAUGGCUGUGGGUGGCACGGUGUGUGGGAGGACACGGGCAGUGUCGCUCACCAUUGUCCCCAACACCUGCAGGACAGGAGCAGUGUUCUCAUUAGGAUUGCUGAUGGCAUUUGGACCUUGAGUGCCAGGUUCACCUCAAUGAGUUCCCGUGGGAAACCCCAGCUCUGCACUGCAGACACCGUCAUCCAACUCGGGGCAUCACUGCAGCCUGAUGUCUUGCAUUUGGCCUCCCACUGUGCAAGGCCACGUGCUGGCAGAGCUUGGGGGACACUGUGUGACAGCUGAGGUGGAACAGUCUGUGUGGGGCCCCUCAAUGGGGCCAGAUGUGCUGCUGUGUGCGUGCCACCCCAUCGGGUUCAAAACAUUGCCACUCCUUGGGGACCAAAUUGGACACAUCAGCAGGUGACAUCACAGCAUCCUGUCCCAAAAGGGAACUGAAAGCAGCUCUCUCACCACCUGUUGACCCCACUGCAGUCUCGCUGUCCCCAGGCUGAUCCUGCCUCAUGGCACCAGUGGCGCUGGGCCUCAUCCUGGGUGAGUGACAAUGGGGAUGUGGUGCCACGGGGGUUGGUGGCCCUGUGUGGGACCAGGAUCGUGUCUCUUGCAGGUUGGUGUCUGGUGGCAGCGAACAGAGCUCAGCACGCCAGGGGGUGUCCCUGGGGGACACUGUCACCCUGCGAUGCCACCUGCCCCGGAUGGCUGCCUGGAUCUGGCUGUACCAGGACAGAGGUUGG